rnacentral:misc_RNA from 1 species
GUUGAUGGGACAGACGAACCCGGUACUUCAUCAAUCUAUUUUUCUUCCAUUUGCAAUAAAUUGCUCCAAAUUCUCUACCUUUUUAUGUUCACAUUUAUGGGUAUUUAGUUUAGGAUUUAUUAGUCAGUUUAUAUUUGAUGUAUGGAGCUUCAUAAAUUGGAUUGAUUUUAUCACUGUAAUAUAUGUAAGAUCAGAUAAGACCCAUUUCUUUAUUUUUGCUAGAAAUGCAUUUUGAAGUUGAGGACUUGUUAGUCAUUUUUGUGAGUUCAACAUAAGUUCUCCUCAAAAAUCUUUUGCUGGCGAUGAGUGCUUCAUCGUUUGAUAUAAUUAGGAUAACAGGAAGUUGAAGUGAUUUUAUAAGAACAUUUCUGUGAUAAACUUUGUUGACUGUAGAAUGGGAUGGAGGAUAUCUUGCAUGUGAAAUUGUAGUUUUGUGUUUGGAACAGCCAAGGUACUAUAACUUUCAUUUUAGAAGCUG